rnacentral:rRNA from 1 species
UACGUAGGUGACCAGCGUUGUCCGGAUUUACUGGGCGUAAAGAGCGCGCAGGCGGCCGUUCAAGUCGAGUGUGAAAGCCCCCGGCUCAACUGGGGAGGGUCACUCGAUACUGAUCGACUUGAAGGCAGGAGAGGGAAGCGGAAUUCCCGGUGUAGUGGUGAAAUGCGUAGAUAUCGGGAGGAACACCAGUGGCGAAGGCGGCGACCUGGGUCGAGACUUACGCUGAGGCGCGAAAGCGUGGGGAGCAAACAGG